rnacentral:misc_RNA from 1 species
CUCCUAUCUUUCAUGAAGCAAACAAAAUUUGGAUGAAGCUGUCUAAAAAUAUGUGAAUCAAAGCUAAAUACAUCAGUAGAAGAAAACAAAGAUCCUUCCAGCUAACAAGCCUAGCAAGAGUGUGAUUUUAUACAAAUGGCUGUUGAUACAGACAAUUUUAUCUGCUUACCAGCCGUAGAUGGGAUUUUCUACUUGCGGAGGCAACAGAUGCAGGUCUUUACAAUGCUGCUUGUCAUAGUUUC